rnacentral:rRNA from 1 species
AUGGCGUCGUGGACGAAGCGCCACUCCGCCCAGCUCGACCAUGGCACCAGUUUCCAGGCGGUGGCCGGUGGAGCGGCCGCCGCCGGUGUCGCCUACAUCUUCCCCUGCCUCCAUAGUCGAGCGGCGCCCUUCAUCAUGGCCGAUGUUUGGGGAGGGAUGCGGUCCCGGUCGACGCGAUCAUCGGCCACGGUGAGCGAGACGGGCGCGACAGCGGGAUUCGGACAGUGGAGUGGAUACUGGGGACGGCGGGGCAGGCGUGGCGACGGCGGGAUUCGGACAACGGAGUCGAUACGGGGGGGCGGUGGCGCAUGCACGGUGGCGGCGGACGGCGCACGGCGGGGCGGAGCAGGAGGUGGCGGCGAGAUGGAUGUCGAGCUCGCCGCUGCCGCCGCCGCCUCUCCCUCGCACUCGUCGCCAGCGCCUCUCCGUCGCCCGCGUUGCCGGCGCCUCUCCCUCACGCGUCGUCGCCGCCACUCCAUUGGCCCUCUCGUCCUCACCCCUUCAGGACCCCAUUUUUACUUUCCGACAGGUGGAUCCGAAGCGCGGCGGCUCGACCUGCAACGCCGGCAGCUGCGGUACAUCCCCCCCUCCCUCCCUCGCUGCUGCUCAUCCCCGGCCAGGGCUUUAAUCUGGAGCUCAUUUAACUUGGCCAGGGCUUUAAUCUGGAGCUCCAUGGCGUCGCACAAGUGUGGCGGCCAGAUGGAGCGGAUUCAUUGCUCCUGCGUGCACCGGGCGCUCCACGGCCUCAUGUUCAGCAGCAGCAACAAGGCCAGCAACGGCUGGAGGGAGGUGCAGGGCAACUUCAUCCCCUUCUGCUGUUGCCCAAUGUCGAGGACGGUCCAGGAGCCGCCGCUCGUCCUGGCGGUGGACGACAGCCUCGUCGACUGCGUGGUCAUCUCCAGGAUCCUCCGCAGCUCCAAAUAUAGAGGUGAGGCGCCAUCUCCAUCUCACUCCAUUCCAUGA